CCGUGGUGGUUUUAGCAGGAGGGUCACACCCGGUCUCAUUCCGAACCCGGUCGUUAAGUCUCCUUGCGCUGAUGGUACUGCUCUGUGAUGGGGUGGGAGAGUAGGUCGCCGCCACGGU
rnacentral:rRNA from 1 species